CGUCCGUUUGAUCGCGCCGGUGCCCCGAAAGGGGCUUCAAUGGGAAUGCGGUGCGGAUGGGUCUUCCAUCCAAAUCCGCGGCUGUCCCUGCAACUGUAAGCGGUGAGCGAGAUGCGCUGGCCUCCCUUUCGAGGAGGCGGCCACUGGACCUUCGGGUCCGGGAAGGCCGUGCAUCGAGCGAUGACCCGUGAGCCAGGAGACCUGCCGGCGUGGGUCGCUCUUG
rnacentral:ncRNA from 1 species